rnacentral:lncRNA from 1 species
GAUUUUUUGGGCCCCAGAGGGCGUGAACACAGGAAGGUAAACCCCACUGGCUGAGCCCACAGUGUGCUGAGCAGGUGGGGGUGUGUUCUAGACUGAUCACAUCCUCACAUUCUCAGGACAACCUUGGGAGAGGUGCUAUUGUUUCCACUUGGCAGCCGAAGAAUUGAGGCUCAGAGUGGUGAAGUGAUUUGGCCAAGGCCACACAGCAAGGAGACGGCAGAGUGGGGACUGCGUGGCUGGGGGUCUGUCUGACUCUAAAGACAGUGUGUAUUUUUCUGGCACUAUUAACACCCCAUGGGGGACCCAGCUCCUAGCAGAAUAUAAAUUUGAGCAGGACAUGGACCUUUUCAAUCUUGCCUACCCUCAUAUCCCAGUAACAAGUGGCUAGCAGAGUACCUGACACAUCAUGGAUGCUCAAAAAAUAUUUCUUGACUAACUGGAUGAAUAAAUGAGUGAAUCAUCAUCAGGAUUGCUGCUCGUGAACCCCUCCUCUUGCAGCUACCUGCCUUUGAAUUUGCCCUCAGGCUUCCUAGCUAGUUUCUUCUUUAGCCUUUCUGACCCAUCGUUCCUUCCGUAGAGUUCAAGACAACACUGCUCCUCCUAUGAACCAAAAGAAAGUGCCAGCGGCUGUUGGUGACGAAGCUCUUCUUUUCUAGGCAAUAAAGCCCCCUCCAGUUGUAGCAGUUUUCUCUGGAAUGGAAUUCUCCAACUCAUGACUCUCCAACUUAUGAUGGGAAACAGAGCCCACCUCCCACUCAAGAAAAAAACAAUGCUUGCAGCACUAUUCUCAAUUGCAAAGACAUGGAAUCAACCCAAAUGCCCAUCAGUGAUAGACUGGAUAAAGAAAAUGUGGUACAUAUACACCAUGGAAUAAUAUGCAGUCAUAAAAAGGAGGAAUGGGAUCACGUCCUUUACAGGGACAUGGAUGAAGCUGGAAGCCAUUAUCCUCAGCAAACUAAUGCAGGAACAGAAAACCAAACAUCACACGUUCUCACUUAUAAGUCGGAGCUGAACAAUGAGAACACAUGGACACAGGGAGGAGAUCAACACACUCUGGGGUCUGUUGGGGGACGGGAAGAAAGCAUCAGGAAAGAUAGCUAAUGCAUGCUAUGCUUAUUACCUAGGUGAUGGGUUGAUAGGUGCAGCAAACCACCAUGGCACACGUUUACCUAUGUAACAAACCUGUGUGUCCUGCACAUGUACCCCAGAACUUAAAAUAAAAAAAAAAAGGCAAGGCUGAGUACUCCCUUUCCCAGGCUCCCUUGCAGCUAGGAUGUGGGUGUGUGAGCAGGAGGGUGUGCAAGGCUGGCAGCUCUCCCCAACAGUCAGGGUUUGAGUUUGGGGGUGGGGCAGUGCUG